GCAGCAGUGGGGAAUAUUGCACAAUGGGCGAAAGCCUGAUGCAGCAACGCCGCGUGAGGGACGACGGCCNUCGGGUUGUAAACCUCUUUUAGCAGGGAAGAAGCGAAAGUGACGGUACCUGCAGAAAAAGCGCCGGCUAACUACGUGCCAGCAGCCGCGGUAAUACGUAGGGCGCAAGCGUUAUCCGGAAUUAUUGGGCGUAAAGAGCUCGUAGGCGGUUUGUCGCGUCUGCUGUGAAACCCCGAGGCUCAACCUCGGGCCUGCAGUGGGUACGGGCAGACUAGAGUGCGGUAGAGGAGAUUGGAAUUCCUGGUGUAGCGGUGGAAUGCGCAGAUAUCAGGAGGAACACCGAUGGCGAAGGCAGAUCUCUGGGCCGUAACUGACGCUGAGGAGCGAAAGGGUGGGGAGCAAACAGGCUUAGAUACCCUGGUAGUCCACCCCGUAAACGUUGGGAACUAGUUGUGGGGUCCAUUCCACGGAUUCCGUGACGCAGCUAACGCAUUAAGUUCCCCGCCUGGGGAGUACGGCCGCAAGGCUAAAACUCAAAGGAAUUGACGGGGACCCGCACAAGCGGCGGAGCAUGCGGAUUAAUUCGAUGCAACGCGAAGAACCUUACCAAGGCUUGACAUAUACGAGAACGGGCCAGAAAUGGUCAACUCUUUGGACACUCGUAAACAGGUGGUGCAUGGUUGUCGUCAGCUCGUGUCGUGAGAUGUUGGGUUAAGUCCCGCAACGAGCGCAACCCUCGUUCUAUGUUGCCAGCACGUAAUGGUGGGAACUCAUGGAAUACUGCCGGGGUCAACUCGGAGGAAGGUGAGGAUGACGUCAAAUCAUCAUGCCCCUUAUGUCUUGGGCUUCACGCAUGCUACAAUGGCCGGUACAAUGGGCUGCAAUACCGCAAGGUGGAGCGAAUCCCAAAAAGCCGGUCCCAGUUCGGAUUGAGGUCUGCAACUCGACCUCAUGAAGUCGGAGUCGCUAGUAAUCGCAGAUCAGCAACGCUGCGGUGAAUACGUUCCCGGGUCUUGUACACACCGCCCGUCAAGUCAUGAAAGUCGGUAACACCUGAAGCCGGUGGCCCAACCC
rnacentral:rRNA from 1 species